rnacentral:rRNA from 1 species
AACGAACGCUGGCGGCGUGCCUAAUACAUGCAAGUCGAGCGAAUCUGAGGGAGCUUGCUCCCAAAGAUUAGCGGCGGACGGGUGAGUAACACGUGGGCAACCUGCCUAUAAGACUGGGAUAACUUCGGGAAACCGGAGCUAAUACCGGAUAAUUCUUUUCUACACAUGUAGGAAAGCUGAAAGACGGUCUACGCUGUCACUUAUAGAUGGGCCCGCGGCGCAUUAGCUAGUUGGUGAGGUAACGGCUCACCAAGGCGACGAUGCGUAGCCGACCUGGGAGGGUGAUCGGCCACACGGGGACUGCGACACGGCCCAGACUCCUCCGGGCGGCAGCAGUAGGGAAUCUUCCGCAAUGGACGAAAGUCUGACGGAGCAACGCCGCGUGAGUGAUAAGGUUUUCGGAUCGUAAAACUCUGUUGUUAGGGAAGAACAAGUACGAGAGUAACUGCUCGUACCUUGACGGUACCUAACCAGAAAGCCACGGCUAACUACGUGCCAGCCGCCGCGGUAAUAC